GACGAACGCUGGCGGCGUGCCUAAUACAUGCAAGUCGAGCGGACAGACGGGAGCUUGCUCCCUGAUGUUAGCGGCGGACGGGUGAGUAACACGUGGGUAACCUGCCUGUAAGACUGGGAUAACUCCGGGAAACCGGGGCUAAUACCGGAUGGUUGUCUGAACCGCAUGGUUCAGACAUAAAAGGUGGCUUCGGCUACCACUUACAGAUGGACCCGCGGCGCCUUAGCUAGUUGGUGAGGUAACGGCCCACCAAAGCAACGAUGCGUAGCCGGCCCGGGGGGGUGGUCGGCCACCAUGGGAAUGGGAAACGGCCCAGACUCCUACGGGAGGCAGCAGUAGGGAAUCUUCCGCAAUGGACGGAAGGCUGACGGGGCAACGCCGGGGGGGGGAUGAAGGUUUUCGGAUCGUAAAGCUCUGUUGUUAGGGAAGAACAAGUGCCGUACAAAUAGGGCGGCGCCUUGACGGUACCUAACCAGAAAGCCACGGCUAACUACGUG
rnacentral:rRNA from 1 species